GGAGGGGUAGCAUAGUCUGGCCUAAUGCGCUCGCCUGGAAAGCGGGUACCGGGAUAGUCUCUCGGUCGAGGGUUCAAAUCCCUCUCCCUCCG
rnacentral:tRNA from 1 species